UGUGUGUGUGUCUGUCAGUAGGUCUGUGUGUGUGAGUAUGACUGUGUGUGUGUGUGUCUGUCAGUAGGUCUGUGUGUGUGUGUCUGUCAGUAGGUCUGUGUGUGUGAGUAUGACUGUGUGUGUGAGUAGGUCUGUGUGUGUGUGUCUGUCAGUAGGUCUGUGUGUGUGUGUGUGUGUCUGUCAGUAGGUCUGUGUGUGUGAGUAUGACUGUGUGUGUGUCUAUCCGUAGGUCUGUGUGUGUGUGGCUCUGUCGUAGGUCUGUGUGUGUGAGUGACUGUGUGUGUGUGUGCGUCUGUCAGUGGUCUGUGUGUGUAGGUAUGACUGUGUGUGUGUGUCUGUCAGUAGGUCUGUGUGUGUGUCUGUCAAGUAGGUCUGUGUGUGUGUGUGUGUCUGUCACUUCUGUAGGUCUGUGUGUGUGUGUCUGUCAGUAGGUCUGUG